ensembl:snRNA U2 U2 spliceosomal RNA
AUCGCUUCUCGGCCUUUUGGCUAAGAUCAAGUGGAGUUCUAAUAUUUCAUUACUUGUUUUUAGUCAAGUUGAUCUAUCUAUUUGUGACAGUGGGGUGUUGAGGUCCCCCACUUCAAUUGUAUUAGUGCAUAUAUGACUUUUCAUGUCCAUUAGUAUUUGUUU